rnacentral:rRNA from 1 species
UACGAAGGGGGCUAGCGUUGCUCGGAAUUACUGGGCGUAAAGCGCACGUAGGCGGAUUGUUAAGUCGGGGGUGAAAUCCUGGAGCUCAACUCCAGAACUGCCUUCGAUACUGGCGAUCUCGAGUUCGGGAGAGGUGAGUGGAACUGCGAGUGUAGAGGUGAAAUUCGUAGAUAUUCGCAAGAACACCAGUGGCGAAGGCGGCUCACUGGCCCGAUACUGACGCUGAGGUGCGAAAGCGUGGGAAGCAAACAGG